CUACGGGCGGCAGCAGUGGGGAAUAUUGGACAAUGGGCGAAAGCCUGAUCCAGCCAUGCCGCGUGUGUGAAGAAGGCCUUCGGGUUGUAAAGCACUUUCAGUGGGGAAGAAAGCCUUGGGGCUAAUACCCUCGAGGAAGGACAUCACCCACAGAAGAAGCACCGGCUAACUCCGUGCCAGCAGCCGCGGUAAUACGGAGGGUGCGAGCGUUAAUCGGAAUUACUGGGCGUAAAGCGCGCGUAGGCGGUCUGAUAAGCCGGUUGUGAAAGCCCCGGGCUCAACCUGGGAACGGCAUCCGGAACUGUCAGGCUAGAGUGCAGGAGAGGAAGGUAGAAUUCCCGGUGUAGCGGUGAAACGCGUAGAGAUCGGGAGGAAUACCAGUGGCGAAGGCGGCCUUCUGGACUGACACUGACGCUGAGGUGCGAAAGCGUGGGUAGCAAACAGGAUUAGAUACCCUGGUAGUC
rnacentral:rRNA from 1 species